rnacentral:rRNA from 1 species
UACAGAGGUCCCGAGCGUUGUUCGGAUUCACUGGGCGUAAAGGGUGCGUAGGUGGUGAGGAAAGUCGGAUGUGAAAUCUCCGGGCUUAACCCGGAAAUGGCAUUGGAAACUACCUUGCUAGAGGUUUUGAGGGGGGACUGGAAUUCUCGGUGUAGCAGUGAAAUGCGUAGAUAUCGAGAGGAACACCGGUGGCGAAGGCGGCGAUCUGGGUAGAUACUGACGCUGAGGUGCGAAAGCGUGGGGAGCAAACAGG